rnacentral:rRNA from 1 species
UACGUAGGGUGCAAGCGUUGUCCGGAAUUAUUGGGCGUAAAGAGCUCGUAGGCGGUCUGUCACGUCGGCUGUGAAAUCCCGAGGCUCAACCUCGGGUCUGCAGUCGAUACGGGCAAACUAGAGUAUUGCAGGGGAGACUGGGAUUCCUGGUGUAGCGGUGAAAUGCGCAGAUAUCAGGAGGAACACCGGUGGCGAAGGCGGGUCUCUGGGCAAUAACUGACGCUGAGGAGCGAAAGCGUGGGGAGCGAACAGG